rnacentral:lncRNA from 1 species
CUGUAACUGUGUCAAAGGCUUCAGUUUCCUCUUUAAUUUGGCUCCCUUGUCUAAGUUUCCCUGGAAACUCUUUUGAGUGACAGCUUUCUCAGUUGUAAUUCCCUGUGUUUAUAUUGGAGGCAUACUGAUGCUGUAGGAAGGUUCUGGUCAGGGGAAGCUUCCGUUCUCCAUGGGCUCUGAGAAGAGCUGCCAUCUUCAGUUUGUCCCUGCAUCUAUUGUGAAGAUGGAGCCAUGCCUUUUGAGCUUUGGCAUACAAUUUGAGCAGAAACUGGAAGAAAGUCAUUCUACUGAAGUUUUCAUUGGUCUAGAGGAGAACAACAACAACAAAAAAGUGUGACCUUUUGUCCGAAGCCAAAUGUUAGAUUCUGGACAUGUUAAUAGAUGCCCAGCUCAUCACUGGCCUGGAAAGUUCCUUGAGAGCAGAAAUGGUUCCCACAUCCGAGGCUAUGCUGGGUAUAGAGGAUGCUGUGCCUGCUCCUGUCCCUCUGUGAAACCAAUAGCUGUAAAGAUCAGACCUGGAGACUCCAUGGCUGCCCCCUACCUCUGGAGGAAUAUGAUCUGGUGAUGCCAUCAUAAGGAUUUGGAAGAUGGAAGAAAGUGAGGCUACCUUAGGGGAGGCUUCAGCCAAAGAACCGUAGCAGUUUUGCCUCUUCCCUUCCAUUCCGGAGGUGGCAUCCAACAACAGGCUCCAAGCCUUGAAUGAAUGGAAAGAGAGCUGAGAGGCAGAUAACUAAAGCCUGGAAGAACUUGGUCUUUAAGGGUGUCAUCUCAGAGAGCGGCAAACCUGCCACGUAGCCAGGAUGAGCAGCCUCCUCUUUGUCCGUCCGUUGUGUUUGCCUGUAAGCCGGCAGCCUUAGGAACUGUCGGGAAUUUACAACUCGGGUGCCUCCAGUCCGUGCACUAACUAAGGCCCGACUUCACGGAACUGUCCCAGUCAGAGGCAGCAAUCUGGAUUCUUGCUUUUUUGUGUGUUUUAUGGGAUCAGUUGACUAGUCAUUUUACUAAGCCCAAAGACAGCAACUGACCAGUAGGUGUCUCCACAG